GGCUCAGGAUAAACGCUGGCGGCGUGCUUAACACAUGCAAGUCGAACGGAGUGGUUCUCCCGAAGACCCUGAAGAGCUUGCUCAGAUGGAAUUCAUUUGAAUCACGUUAGUGGCGGACGGGUGAGUAACGCGUGGGUAACCUGCCUCACACUGGGGGAUAGCAGUUGGAAACGACUGAUAAUACCGCAUAAGCGCACAGUAUCGCAUGAUAAAGUGUGAAAAACUCCGGGUGGUGUGAGAUGGACCCGCGUCUGAUUAGCUAGUUGGUGAGGUAACGGCCCACCAAGGCAACGAUCAGUAGCCGGCCUGAGAGGGUGUACGGCCACAUUGGGACUGAGACACGGCCCAAACUCCUACGGGAGGCAGCAGUGGGGAAUAUUGGACAAUGGGGGAAACCCUGAUCCAAGCGACGCCGCGUGAACGAAGAAGUAUCUCGGUAUGUAAAGUUCUAUCAGCAGGGAAGAUAAUGACGGUACCUGACUAAGAAGCACCGGCUAAAUACGUGCCAGCCGCCGC
rnacentral:rRNA from 1 species